AACUUUUUUUUCCUCUUCCUUUCUGUUCAGCCACUCCUGCAUGGUUGCCAAGGGAAACCAGAGAAGUAAUUAAGUGUUCCGAAUGGAUGAGUCUUGGCACCUCUGCUGAAGUCAUCUACAGCCUGGCUCUCAUGAUUGGACGAUUUCUAUUGAUCUAACUUGAAACUGAUUCUUUCUACUCUCAACUUUGUUCUGAUGUUAAGUCCAUCCAGUGAAUUUUUUAUUUCAGGUAUUGCAUUUUUCAGUUCUAAAAUUCCCAUUUAAAAUACACAGCAGUGCUCUAACCCUUAUUAGGCAUUCCUUCAAAUUUUUUAGUAUAACAGUAGCCUCGAAAAUGGAAGCCGUCGGACCUCUCACAACCUCUGAAAAGAUUGUUAUUUAGACAGUAUUCAACAAAUGUUUACUGAUUUGAAUUUAAUUGUAACAAAGCCAGUGAAAGCAACAUCAAGGCAUAGAAAGUCCAGGAAGGGAGCAAGAAACGUCAUGUGUCUUUACUGAGUUGUUUUGUGAAAUCUAGCACACUGUUAAAUCUGAUUAGUAGAGAACCAAGUAAAAGGAGUGUAUGUCUUAGUUCACAGACAAAGAAGGUUUUAAAUCUGUGUGGCAGCAGAUUGUCAGGUGGCUCCCUUGGUCUCUGUCACCUGACGUUCAUACCUUUGUGUGAUUGCCUCCCCUUGAGUGUAGACAGGACUUGUAACUUGCUUCUAACCAAUAGCAUAUGAUGAAGGUGAUGACAUGCCACUCCUGUGAUCCCAUUAUGCAAGACUCUGUCUUGCUGGCAGACUCACUUUACAGGCUCUCUUUGCUGGCUUGAUGAAGUAAACGGCAAUGUUGGGGAAAGCUACAUAGCUGGGGCCCUCAGUCUUACAACCACCAAGAACUGAAUUCUGCCAACAGCCCAAAUGAGCUUAGGAGGGGAUUUUACCCCCAGUUGAACCUCCAGAUAAGAACACAGCCUGGCUAACACCUUGAUGUUAGCCUUGCAGCAGACCGAGCUAAGCCAUUCCUAGACUCCUGACCCACAGGAACUGUGAAAUAAUAAAUGUCUGUUGUUUUAAACCACUAAACUUGUAGUAAUCUGCUAUGCAGCAAUAGAAAAUGGUUAUAAUCUGCAUGGUUAUGUAAGUUUGCCACCUUUUAUUUUGUUGAGAGUGAUUUUCCUAACUGAUUUUCAUACUCAAUAUGCUGCUUGAGUUUUAGGAAAUGAAAUAUUUUGAGAGCAGCAAUUGUAUAGUGUAAUAGCAGGAACAAGAGAACUCUGGGGAACCCAUAAGAAAAGCAUUUCUUUUAAUGAUCUGGUGCCAACAUUUUUACUCUCGGGAAUUUGUCCAUAGAAAUAAAAGCCCAUUCAGCAAGGGAAGAUAAAUGCAUGUAUAUAUUUUUAAUUGCACUGUUGUAAUGGCAAAAUAACUGGAAACAAAUUUUUAAUGACUUGCCAAAUUGCUCUCCAAAAAAGCUGCUAAAAUUCACAUUUCCACCAGAAUGUGUAAGUAUCCUUUUUCCUUUGUCUUUGUAACGGAUCACUCCUAUCCAUGUGCGUUAGUUUGCUGGGGCUGCCGUACAAAGUACCAGGCGGCUUAAACAACUGAAAUUUGUUUUCUCACAGUU